rnacentral:rRNA from 1 species
CCUACGGGAGGCAGCAGUGAGGAAUAUUGGUCAAUGGACGAGAGUCUGAACCAGCCAAGUAGCGUGAAGGAUGACUGCCCUAUGGGUUGUAAACUUCUUUUAUAUGGGAAUAAAAUGUUCCACGUGUGGGAUUUUGUAUGUACCAUAUGAAUAAGGAUCGGCUAACUCCGUGCCAGCAGCCGCUGUAAUACGGAGGAUCCGAGCGUUAUCCGGAUUUAUUGGGUUUAAAGGGAGCGUAGGUGGAUUGUUAAGUCAGUUGUGAAAGUUUGCGGCGCAACCGUAAAAUUGCAGUUGAAACUGACAGUCUUGAGUACAGUAGAGGUGGGCGGAAUUCGUGGUGUAGCGGUGAAAUGCUUAGAUAUCACGAAGAACUCCGAUUGCGAAGGCAGUUCACUGGACUGCAACUGACACUGAGGCUCGAAAGUGUGGGUAUCAAACAGGAUUAGAUACCCCAGUAGUC